AGAGUUUGAUCCUGGCUCAGAUUGAACGCUGGCGGCAGGCCUAACACAUGCAAGUCGAGCGGUAGAGAGGUGCUUGCACCUCUUGAGAGCGGCGGACGGGUGAGUAAUGCCUAGGAAUCUGCCUAGUGGUGGGGGAUAACGUUCGGAAACGGACGCUAAUACCGCAUACGUCCUACGGGAGAAAGCGGGGGAUCUUCGGACCUCGCGCCAUUAGAUGAGCCUAGGUCGGAUUAGCUAGUUGGUGAGGUAAUGGCUCACCAAGGCGACGAUCCGUAACUGGUCUGAGAGGAUGAUCAGUCACACUGGAACUGAGACACGGUCCAGACUCCUACGGGAGGCAGCAGUGGGGAAUAUUGGUCAAUGGGCGGAAGCCUGAACCAGCCAUGCCGCGUGCAGGAAGACGGCCCUACGGGUUGUAAACUGCUUUUCCGGGGGAAGAAUAAGGCCCAUGCGUGGGCCGAUGCCGGUACCCCGGGAAUAAGGAUCGGCUAACUCCGUGCCAGCAGCCGCGGUAAUACGGAGGAUCCGAGCGUUAUCCGGAUUUACUGGGUUUAAAGGGUGCGUAGGCGGACGCCUAAGUCAGCGGUGAAAUGCGGGGGCUCAACCUUCGAACCGCCGUUGAUACUGGGCGUCUUGGAUUCGGUCGAGGCGGGCGGAAUGCGACAUGUAGCGGUGAAAUGCUUAGAUAUGUCGCAGAACGCCGAUUGCGAAGGCAGCUCGCCGGGCCGACAUCGACGCUGAGGCACGAAAGCGUGGGGAUCGAACAGGAUUAGAUACCCUGGUAGUCC
rnacentral:rRNA from 1 species